UAAGGAAUAUUGGUCAAUGGAGGAAACUCUGAACCAGCCAUGCCGCGUGGAGGAUGAAGGUCCUCUGGAUUGUAAACUUCUUUUAUAUGGGACGAAAAAGGGACUUUCUAGUUCAACUGACGGUACCAUAUGAAUAAGCACCGGCUAACUCCGUGCCAGCAGCCGCGGUAAUACGGAGGGUGCAAGCGUUAUCCGGAUUCACUGGGUUUAAAGGGAGCGUAGGUGGGUUGGUAAGUCAGAGGUGAAAUCUCCGAGCUUAACUCGGAAACUGCCUUUGAUACUAUUAGUCUUGAAUAUUGUGGAGGUUAGCGGAAUAUGUCAUGUAGCGGUGAAAUGCUUAGAUAUGACAUAGAACACCAAUUGCGAAGGCAGCUGGUUACACAUAUAUUGACGCUGAGGCACGAAAGCGUGGGGAUCAAACA
rnacentral:rRNA from 1 species